AAACGUUACCGGGCCAAGAGGGUGCAAGUCUGCGGGCCCUGUGCUCACCGACGUUUGUUCUAUUGGACAGUGAGAGGACGAUCCUGUAGGGCAGGAGCGAGCGCCUGUGCGCUUCCUCCCUGCGGCGGGACCUCAGGACUCACGGACACGUGUCGCCGGGAGGCCGCUGUCCCCGUGGGUGCGCCCCCGGCGGAGGCGGCCCUGCCCCCAGGCCCCUCGGAAGGUGUCCCAGCCCCGCUCGCGUCCCGAGGCAGGCGCCCCCGAGCGUGCCUGGGCAGCUUCAGGUGGAGCGACCCUGCACGGCGAGCUCGGGCGACGCGGAGGCCCCGGGCGCGGAGGCACGACUUCAAGGCUUCUGAAAGGAGAUGGAAGGUGGACGUCGCGGAAGAGGCGCCCCCGGCCCAGCGCAGCCGCCGCGGGCCCCCGAGCCCCUCUGUCCGGGCCUCCGCCGCCUCCCGCCCCGGCCCUGCAGCUCCCCCUGCGCCCCGGGGAGCGCGCAGCUCGCUAAGGCGCGGGCGGUCCCGGCCCCCCUCCCCCGGGGCGCCGCUGGCCGGGGAUGGGGGCUCCCCGCAGGGACCGACGGCCCCGGCCGCAGCGGCUCCCCGCCCCGCCCCGCCCCCGGCUCCCGCCCGCUCGGCCCCGCGCACCUCGCCUCCUCCGGCCGCGCGCCGCCUUCUCCCCGCGACCCCGGCACGGCCAGCCGGCGGGGCCCUGGCCUCCCCGCUCCCCGCCCCCCGCCCCCUUCGCCCCCGGCCUAUCCCCGCCCGGGUCCCGGGGCCAAGUUCGGCCACGCCCCACCCAGCCCUAGGUCACGUCCUGCGGCCCCGGCCACGCCCCUUCUGCCCUAGGCCACGCCCAGCGGGGCGACCCCGCCCCCCGCCCCCCUCCAGGGCCUGCAGGCCAAGUCCGCCCUCAGCCAGGCUCGGGCCUGUCCAGCCCUGGGGAGGGCAACGAGCUGCUAGCUGCAGGCUGCGAUCGGCGGCAGGAGUCUAUUGUACCCCCAAAUACCCUGGCGGGAGAGGUUCCUCGUCUCUCUCUAGUUCAUCUGAGUCGACAGGAUUAGGGGCCAGAUCCCCCAAGGGCGCAAGGAGACGGCUGCAUUUCCCCAGAUCUCAGGUCUUACAGAAAAGCCUGGAACGUGGAGGCUUUAGUAGCGAUUUUAAUUUCCUCCAAGGAUAA
rnacentral:lncRNA from 12 species